AAAAUGUUUGGAACCAUUGUCCCGUCUUGACGUUUUAGACGAUAAGUUUCUGACUUAAUCUCCUCCUCGAAGAUAUAGCUAGGGACCUUCGAAGUUGGUUGAUAGCUUGCUUAUAGGUCUAUUCCUUUGUGUGAUACUUGUCUUGCGCGUGAUGAGGGAUCGUGGUAAGAAGGCUUUAGCCCGAACGUGUCGAUCGUGAUAUCGUGCCACGUUAGUCUUAUAUGCUUCGUUAUGCAGAUCGGUCUUGUAUCGCAUGUCUCUUCCCUGAGUUAAAGGUCAGUGGAUAAAUAUCAUGAUUGGUUGGUCGCUUUGUUUUUUAAUUUUUUUUUGUUUGGUAGUCGAAUUGCAAAAUUUUUAAAAAAAUUACGAAAUAUUAAGUGACCAAUUAAUUGGUAGCUUUGUUUUUUAAUUUUAAAUAUGACCAAUUAUUGUAUUUUAUUUUUAUAUAUUUUUAAUUGUGUCCGAAUUGAAUUACGAAAUAUUUUUUUAAUUGCGAAUUGCCUUUUUAUUUUAUUUUUAAUUCAAGUUGGUCGCUUUGUUUUUUAAUUUUUUUUGUUGGGUUGUCGAAUUACAAUUUUUAAAAAAAAUUACGAAAUAUUUAAACGUCUAACUAGUUGGUCGCUUUGUUUAUUUAUUUUAUUUUUAAUGAGGCGAUUGUAUUUUAUUUUAAUAUAUUUUUUAAUUCAGGCGACGGAGAGUUGCAAUUAUUUUAAAAAAUCUUUUUUUUUUUAAUUCAGGCGACUAAUUCAAUUGGUCGCUUUGUUUUUUAAUUUAAUUCAGGAUAACUGUAGAAACUAGAAAGGUGUACUCUGAAGUUCUAUCACAAUGGAUCAACAAGAGAUUUUGUUAUUAGAUAUAUCUAAC
rnacentral:lncRNA from 1 species